rnacentral:rRNA from 1 species
GGUUAAGCGACUAAGCGUACACGGUGGAUGCCUAGGCAAUCAGAGGCGAUGAAGGACGUGCUAAUCUGCGAAAAGCGUCGGUAAGGUGAUAUGAACCGUUAUAACCGACGAUGUCCGAAUGGGGAAACCCAGUGCAAUUCGUUGCACUAUCGUUUGAUGAAUCCAUAGUCAAACGAGGCGAACCGGGGGAACUGAAACAUCUCAGUACCCCGAGGAAAAGAAAUCAACCGAGAUUCCCCUAGUAGCGGCGAGCGAACGGGGAGCAGCCCAGAGUCUUAAUCAGUAUCAGCAUCAGGAGAACGGUCUGGAAAGGCCGGCAAUAAAGGGUGAUAGCCCCGUAUCCGAAGGUGUUGGUGUUGUGAACUCGACGAGUAGGGCGGGACACGUGUUAUCCUGUCUGAAUAUGGGGGGACCAUCCUCCAAGGCUAAAUACUCCUGAUUGACCGAUAGUGAACCAGUACCGUGAGGGAAAGGCGAAAAGAACCCCGGCGAGGGGAGUGAAAUAGAACCUGAAACCGUGUACGUACAAGCAGUGGGAGCCUUGAUUUAUCAGGGUGACUGCGUACCUUUUGUAUAAUGGGUCAGCGACUUAUAUUCUGUAGCAAGGUUAACCGUAUAGGGGAGCCGUAGGGAAACCGAGUCUUAACUGGGCGAAUGAGUUGCAGGGUAUAGACCCGAAACCCGGUGAUCUAGCCAUGGGCAGGUUGAAGGUUGGGUAACACUAACUGGAGGACCGAACCGACUAAUGUUGAAAAAUUAGCGGAUGACUUGUGGCUGGGGGUGAAAGGCCAAUCAAACCGGGAGAUAGCUGGUUCUCCCCGAAAGCUAUUUAGGUAGCGCCUCGUGAACUCAUCUUCGGGGGUAGAGCACUGUUUCGGCUAGGGGGUCAUCCCGACUUACCAACCCGAUGCAAACUACGAAUACCGAAGAAUGUUAUCACGGGAGACACACGGCGGGUGCUAACGUUCGUCGUGAAGAGGGAAACAACCCAGACCGCCAGCUAAGGUCCCAAAGUCAUGGUUAAGUGGGAAACGAAGUGGGAAGGCUCAGACAGCCAGGAUGUUGGCUUAGAAGCAGCCAUCAUUUAAAGAAAGCGUAAUAGCUCACUGGUCGAGUCGGCCUGCGCGGAAGAUGUAACGGGGCUAAACCAUGCACCGAAGCUGCGGCAGCGACAUUUAGAUGUUGUUGGGUAGGGGAGCGUUCUGUAAGCCUGUGAAGGUGUGCUGCGAGGCAUGCUGGAGGUAUCAGAAGUGCGAAUGCUGACAUAAGUAACGAUAAUGCGGGUGAAAAACCCGCACGCCGGAAGACCAAGGGUUCCUGUCCAACGUUAAUCGGGGCAGGGUGAGUCGACCCCUAAGGCGAGGCAGAAAUGCGUAGUCGAUGGGAAACAGGUUAAUAUUCCUGUACUGGUGAUAAUUGCGAUGGGGGGACGGAGAAGGCUAGGCUGGCCGGGCGACGGUUGUCCCGGUUUAAGGAUGUAGGUGGGUGAAUUAGGCAAAUCCGGUUCGCUAUACACUGAGGUCUGAUGACGAGUCACUACGGUGGCGAAGUAGCUCAUGCCCCGCUUCCAGGAAAAGCCUCUAAGCUCUAGAUUAUCAUUAAUCGUACCCCAAACCGACACAGGUGGUCAGGUAGAGAAUACUCAGGCGCUUGAGAGAACUCGGGUGAAGGAACUAGGCAAAAUGGUGCCGUAACUUCGGGAGAAGGCACGCUGGCAUUAGGUGAAGUCCCUUGCGGAUGGAGCUGAAGCCAGUCGCAGAUACCAGCUGGCUGCAACUGUUUAUUAAAAACACAGCACUGUGCAAACACGAAAGUGGACGUAUACGGUGUGACGCCUGCCCGGUGCUGGAAGGUUAAUUGAUGGGGUUAUCCGUAAGGAGAAGCUCUUGAUCGAAGCCCCAGUAAACGGCGGCCGUAACUAUAACGGUCCUAAGGUAGCGAAAUUCCUUGUCGGGUAAGUUCCGACCUGCACGAAUGGCGUAAUGAUGGCCAGGCUGUCUCCACCCGAGACUCAGUGAAAUUGAACUCGCUGUGAAGAUGCAGUGUACCCGCGGCAAGACGGAAAGACCCCGUGAACCUUUACUAUAGCUUGACACUGAACAUUGAGCCUUGAUGUGUAGGAUAGGUGGGAGGCUUUGAAGUGUGGACGCCAGUCUGCAUGGAGCCAACCUUGAAAUACCACCCUUUAAUGUUUGAUGUUCUAACGUUGCCCCAUAAUCUGGGGUGCGGACAGUGUCUGGUGGGUAGUUUGACUGGGGCGGUCUCCUCCCAAAGCGUAACGGAGGAGCACGAAGGUUGGCUAAGCAUGGUCGGACAUCAUGCGGUUAGUGCAAAGGCAUAAGCCAGCUUGACUGCGAGAGUGACGGCUCGAGCAGGUACGAAAGUAGGUCUUAGUGAUCCGGUGGUUCUGAAUGGAAGGGCCAUCGCUCAACGGAUAAAAGGUACUCCGGGGAUAACAGGCUGAUACCGCCCAAGAGUUCAUAUCGACGGCGGUGUUUGGCACCUCGAUGUCGGCUCAUCACAUCCUGGGGCUGAAGUAGGUCCCAAGGGUAUGGCUGUUCGCCAUUUAAAGUGGUACGCGAGCUGGGUUUAGAACGUCGUGAGACAGUUCGGUCCCUAUCUGCCGUGGGCGUUGGAAGAUUGAAAGGGGCUGCUCCUAGUACGAGAGGACCGGAGUGGACGCACCGCUGGUGUUCGGGUUGUCAUGCCAAUGGCACUGCCCGGUAGCUAAGUGCGGAAGAGAUAACCGCUGAAAGCAUCUAAGCGGGAAACUUGCCUUGAGAUGAGUCUUCCCUGACUCUUUAAGGGUCCUAAAGGAACGUUUAAGACGAAGACGUUGAUAGGCUGGGUGUGUAAGCGUAGCGAUACGUUGAGCUAACCAGUACUAAUGAACCGUGAGGCUUAACCUG